GUUAAGGUGGCAGAGCCCGGCAUUGCAAAAGAUCUAAGCCCUUUCCACGAAGGUUCAAAUCCUUCCCUUAACA
rnacentral:tRNA from 1 species